rnacentral:rRNA from 1 species
UGAGGAAUAUUGGUCAAUGGACGCAAGUCUGAACCAGCCAAGUAGCGUGCAGGAUGACGGCCCUAUGGGUUGUAAACUGCUUUUAUAUGGGGAUAAAGUGGGGAACGUGUUCCCUUUUGCAGGUACCAUAUGAAUAAGGACCGGCUAAUUCCGUGCCAGCAGCCGCGGUAAUACGGAAGGUUCGGGCGUUAUCCGGAUUUAUUGGGUUUAAAGGGAGCGUAGGCCGUUUGGUAAGCGUGUUGUGAAAUGUAGGAGCUCAACUUCUAGAUUGCAGCGCGAACUGUCAGACUGGAGUGCGCACAACGUAGGCGGAAUUCAUGGUGUAGCGGUGAAAUGCUUAGAUAUCAUGAAGAACUCCGAUGGCGAAGGCAGCUUACGGGAGCGCAACUGACGCUGAGGCUCGAAGGUGCGGGUAUCGAACAGG